GACGAACGCUGGCGGCGUGCUUAACACAUGCAAGUCGAACGGAAAGGCCCGGCUUUUGCUGGGUGCUCGAGUGGCGAACGGGUGAGUAACAUGUGUGUAACCUGCCCUUGACCUUGGGAUACCUUCAGGACACUGGGGCUAAUACCGGGUAGGAGCUCCUGUUCCAUUGUGUGCGUUGGAAAGUCUCGGCGGUUGGGGAUGGACUCGCGGCUUAUCAGCUUGUUAGGGUGGUAGUGGCUUACCAAGGCUUUGACGGGUAGCCGGCCUGAGAGGGGGGACGGGCACAAUGGGACUGCGAGAGGGAGCAGACGGCUACGGGGGGCAGCAGUGGGGAACAUGGCACAAUGGGCGGGAGCGUGAUGCAGAGGCGCCGCGUGCGGGAAGACGGCUUACGGGUUGUAAAGCGCUUUCGGCGGAGACGCAGCCUGAGUGACGGUAAUGGGUAAAGAAGCCCCGGCUAACUACGUG
rnacentral:rRNA from 1 species